UACAGAGGUCCCGAGCGUUGUUCGGAUUCAUUGGGCGUAAAGGGUGCGUAGGCGGCGGGGCAAGUCUGAUGUGAAAUCCCGGGGCUCAACCCCCGGAACUGCAUUGGAUACUGCCUUGCUCGAGUACUGGAGAGGGAACUGGAAUUUACGGUGUAGCAGUGAAAUGCGUAGAGAUCGUAAGGAAGGCCGGUGGCGAAGGCGAGUUCCUGGACAGUGACUGACGCUGAGGCACGAAGGCCAGGGGAGCAAACGGG
rnacentral:rRNA from 1 species